rnacentral:lncRNA from 1 species
CUCGGAUCAGGAGCCCCGUCGCCACGGGGAACCACAGCUUGAUUGAUGGCAACUGCAUCUACGCCAUCAGCUUCCCUGUGAGAAUCCAAAAUGGCUGCCUGUUUCCACGGCGACAACAGACAUGCCCCCCCGCCAUGGAGAUGAAUGGAAACUCUUAACUCUUCGUCCCUCUGAGAAAACCAGUGAAGAAGAGUCCAUCUUCACCUCCUCUUCAUCAGCCGGUCGCUUCUCUUCAACCCCCCUUUCCUCCAGUGCUGCACCCGUGCGAGAUAGGAAGUGACCUACAUAGCGUGGCGGCUCCCUCGCCUUGGCUGUCAUUUGCAUUUCAAGGGGUGAUGAAUAAUUUACACACACAUAUACUCACAGUUACGAUUCCCAAAUCUCCCCAUCCGAACACUGAACGUACAUCCCGCUGCAACAUGACAGGCCUCAAUAAUGUUAGAUAACUCUGUCUGUGUGUGUGUGUGUGUGUGUGUGUGUGUGUGUGUGUGUGUGUGUAUGUACAGGAGGUGGUGUAAGCUCUUUGAGGAGGUGUUAGGAGGAGAUCUGUGGGCCUGAAGCACCAACACUGACAAACCACAGAGGAAUCAUAUGAAAACACAGCUCGUGGAUAAUUACCAAAAGGCUUUCUGAGAUAAGACGGUUCCCCCUGGGACGAUGGCCGACGAUUCCCGAGCUGUGGAGAAGAUCUCCAGUCUGACCAGCCAUGUGGAGGAAUUUUGAACAGCCUCAGUCUCUGCUGCAGCUCUCUGACUCUGCAUCUGGAAAGACUCAGGAGGGCAAAGUGCAGCGCUCGCCGCCCAUGCAUGCAGCCAGGGGAGCGCUCGGCAGCAGCCAUCUUUAUGUUCUUAUCUCCCUCCCAUACGCCCCCCCGCAGGCCAGGCUCAGCCCUGCUGUAAUUGACUUUCUCCCACUGAGCCCGGUGGAGGCUUCAGGCUGCAGAGCUGCACUGAAAAACCUAUUACACACUGCUGCACACCUACACACUGCAGACCUAUAG